GGGCGAAGACUGUCGAACUGUCCCCCUGGCUGGACAUGUGGGGUUUGACAGCUUGCCUGACCAGCUGGUGAAUAAGUCAGUCAGCCAGGGCUUCUGCUUCAACAUCCUGUGCGUGGGGGAGACAGGUUUGGGCAAGUCCACCCUCAUGGAUACCCUGUUCAACACCAAGUUUGAAGGGGAGCCAACGACUCACACACAGCCAGGUGUUCAGCUCCGGUCCAGUACCUACGACCUCCAGGAGAGCAAUGUGGGGUUGAAGCUCACAAUUGUGAGCACUGUAGGCUUUGGGGACCAGAUCAACAAGGAGGACAGCUACAAGCCCAUCGUGGAAUUCAUUGAUGCUCAGUUCGAGGCCUACCUACAGGAGGAGCUGAAGAUCCGGAGAGUACUGCACUCCUACCAUGACUCCCGAAUCCACGCCUGCUUGUAUUUCAUUGCCCCGACAGGGCAUUCGCUUAAGUCUCUGGACCUAGUAACCAUGAAGAAGCUGGAUAGUAAGGUGAACAUCAUUCCCAUCAUUGCCAAGUCAGAUGCCAUUUCUAAGAGUGAGCUGGCAAAGUUCAAGAUCAAAAUCACCAGUGAGCUUGUGAGCAAUGGAGUCCAGAUCUAUCAGUUCCCCACAGAUGAUGAGUCGGUGGCCGAGAUCAAUGGAACCAUGAAUGCCCACCUGCCGUUUGCUGUUGUUGGCAGCACAGAAGAAGUGAAGAUAGGGAACAAGAUGAUGCGAGCUCGGCAGUAUCCUUGGGGGACCGUGCAGGUUGAAAAUGAGGCCCACUGCGACUUUGUGAAGCUGCGGGAGAUGCUGAUUCGAAUCAACAUGGAGGAUCUGCGGGAGCAGACCCAUGCCCGGCACUACGAAUUGUACCGCCGCUGUAAGCUGGAGGAGAUGGGCUUCAAGGACACCGACCCUGACAGCAAACCAUUCAGUUUACAGGAGACAUAUGAGGCGAAAAGAAACGAGUUCCUGGGGGAGCUCCAGAAGAAAGAAGAGGAGAUGAGACAGAUGUUUGUCCAGAGAGUCAAAGAGAAGGAAGCAGAGCUCAAGGAGGCUGAAAAAGAGCUGCAUGAGAAGUUUGACCGUCUGAAGAAACUGCACCAGGAGGAGAAGAAGAAGCUGGAAGAUAAGAAGAAGUGUCUGGAUGAGGAAAUGAAUGCUUUCAAGCAGAGAAAGGCGGCAGCCGAGCUGCUCCAGUCUCAGGGCUCUCAGGCUGGAGGCUCGCAGACUCUGAAAAGAGACAAAGAGAAGAAGAAUUAACCCUGCUGUUUGCUGCAUGCUGCAUGACACCCAGGGUCCUGUUUGGGCUUCCUGUAGACGCGCUCUUUCCUGUGCAACAGAGCUGGGCCUCCCUCUCUUUAUUUCCCCCUUAACAUGCUUAGGGGGCAUACACCCCAUGCCUUCCCCUUUUCUUCCUGCGAAUGUUUAUAGAAGCCUGAGAGUCAAAUGACGAUGUCUGGCCCCUGACCAAGAAGCCAACAAUCACGUGGCUUGGAGAUACAUUCCAUACCUCAGUCCCUCUCCUAGUACCCUCAGCCAUAUGCACCCCCACUUCCCCAAUCUAUCUUCGCCAGACUGUCAUGUGUUUACGGGUUGCUGUUUGCCACAUUUUAUGUACUCCAUUUGAAUUCCACUGAUACUUGUUUCCUUGAAGUAUUUCCAGCCACUGACUGGAUAAGACUCCUGCAUCCUUGUCACUGGGAUUGUUCUCCCACUCCUAAUGCCAGGAGCAUAGCCCCUCAUCACAGGUUCUAAAAGAAUUGCUGGAGAUGCCUAUUUCUUCUACUAUCUUAGCCCAGCCCUUUCUCGAUUCCAUUUCCUCGGAAUCACUUUGCACAAGCUAUGUUAAAAGUCAGCCACACAUUUAUUUACACCAAGCCCUUCCUAUACAAAAUACAACUGCUGGGGCAGACAGUCUAUACUCCCCCUCUGUAAUUCUGGGUACCUCACAGAUACAGAAGGGACAAUAAACCAGAAUGUCAUUACCA
rnacentral:lncRNA from 1 species